AGAGUUUGAUCAUGGCUCAGAACGAACGCUGGCGGCGUGCUUAAUACAUGCAAGUCGAACGAGAAAGCCCGAUUUCGGUUGGGCGAGUAAAGUGGCGAACGGGUGAGUAACACGUGGACAAUCUACCUUUAAAUUUGGGAUAAUCCUUCGAAAGAGGGUCUAAUACCGAAUAAUACUAUUGAAGGGCAUCCUUUGAUGGUCAAAGGCGGGGUAACCUGUCGUUUAAAGAUGAGUCCGCGUCCCAUUAGCUUGUUGGUGAGGUAACGGCUCACCAAGGCUGCGAUGGGUAGCCGGCCUGAGAGGGCGAUCGGCCACACUGGGACUGAGAUACGGCCCAGACUCCUACGGGAGGCAGCAGUAGGGAAUAUUGCGCAAUGGACGAAAGUCUGACGCAGCAACGCCGCGUGGAUGAUGAAGCUCUUCGGAGUGUAAAAUCCUGUCAGUGGGGAAGAAACGUGUAGGUAGUAACUGACCUAUGCCUGACGGUACCCGCAGAGGAAGUCCCGGCUAACUCCGUGCCAGCAGCCGCGGUAAUACGGGGGGGACAAGCGUUGUUCGGAUUUACUGGGCGUAAAGGGCGCGUAGGCGGACUUUCAAGUUGGGUGUGAAAUCUCCGGGCUCAACCCGGAGCCUGCAUNCNAAACCGUGAGUCUUGAGUACAAGAGAGGAAAGCGGAAUUCCAGGUGUAGCGGUGAAAUGCGUAGAUNUCUGGAAGACACCGGUAGCGAAGGNGGCUUUCUGGCUUGAUACUGACNCNAANCNNGAAGGCUAGGGUANCAAACAGGAUUANAUACCCUG
rnacentral:rRNA from 1 species